rnacentral:rRNA from 1 species
GAUGAACGCUGGCGGCGUGCCUAAUACAUGCAAGUCGAGCGAACCAAUUAAGAGCUUGCUCUUAAGAAGUUAGCGGCGGACGGGUGAGUAACGCGUGGGUAACCUGCCUAUAAGACUGGGAUAACUCCGGGAAACCGGGGCUAAUACCGGAUAACAUUUUGCACCGCAUGGUGCGAAAUUGAAAGGCGGCUUCGGCUGUCACUUAUAGAUGGACCUGCGGCGCAUUAGCUAGUUGGUGAGGUAACGGCUCACCAAGGCGACGAUGCGUAGCCGACCUGAGAGGGUGAUCGGCCACACUGGGACUGAGACACGGCCCAGACUCCUACGGGAGGCAGCAGUAGGGAAUCUUCCGCAAUGGACGAAAGUCUGACGGAGCAACGCCGCGUGAACGAUGAAGGCUUUCGGGUCGUAAAGUUCUGUUGUUAGGGAAGAACAAGUGCUAGUUGAAUAAGCUGGCACCUUGACGGUACCUAACCAGAAAGCCACGGCUAACUACGUGCCAGCCGCCGCCGUAAUAC